CUGGACUUACUCCCAUGGGUCCAUGUUCUUACCAUGCUGGGUCCCCAGAGCUGGAUGCAGUACUGCAGGUGGGAUAUGAUGAGAGUGGAGUAGAGGGGAAGUGUUAUUGGUAGAUUAUGAGAGAAAGAGAGAAAGAAACGAGUGAACCCUUUAUUAAAUUUUCAGUUCAGAAGGAAAGGUUUUGGGAUUUGCCUUUAAUAACACUUCAUUGCAUAGCAUAUUUGACCUGACAAUGUCUCUCUAAAUUGUAAAAAUUCAGGGCAAAAUUUUCCCCCGGCCAUGCAUCUCUCACCUACUUUAAUGCCCAUUGCAACCCUAGGGAAAUCAAAGCAGCAGCUGUGCUUUUUCCUGUCUCACAAGGACUUGCAGUGUUAUUUCCAUGCUCAGAAAUUCAACAAACAUUCUUCUUUUACACCCCUGGGAUUUGCAGAUCUUCCUAAUACGCAUUUAUUUUUAAUUAAUGAAAUGCUUAAGAGUAUCAUGGCUUCGUCUUGCUAACAGCAGCACCAGUGACUGCUCUCAUAGCACCGUGUGUCACUCAUUCCCUCUGAAACUGUCACUCACCCCCUCUGAAAGUGUGUUAAGGUAUUUUUCAUCCCCUCCCACAGUUUAUUAAGGCACUUCUGCACUCAUCACUUUUUAUGGAAAGGCACUGUUUUGGUGAAUGAAUAGAGCUGCUGGUUGGAGCAGGUCCUGACCUAUUGCUAAUGCUUUAAUAGCAUUAACCACAUCAGCAGUAGUGAUUUUAAUUACCUCUUAUAAUGCAGAUUUUGGUCUAGUUCUAUUUCUAUACGUAAUGUGUUCAUACCCACUAGCCAGUUAGCAACAGUACACAGUCAUCUGGGAUUUUUUAUUUAUCUGAGGUGCAAAAUACCAAAAAAAAAUAAAAAAAAAGCCACCAGAAAAAGCAGAAAGCCCAAGCAGAUGUGAUUUAAGUCAGAGCAAAGCAUGCUCCACAAUUACAGACGUAAACAGCUUCUGGCGACUGUGUAAAAGCAAUAGGUUUUAUCUUGCACAUGAAGACUGAGGAGAGUUAGGAGGGAUGCCUAAUCUUUGACUCCAGCAGUCUAUUUCUUUUUUUCACUUCUUACCUUUACAUUAGGUGCUAAGCAUGAUUGUGAAAGACAUGCUAGAGCUUAUCCAUUAGCCUGAUAAAAUUAAGACUAACCCCAAUGGCUGAUCGAGUAUACUGAUGUAAUACUUGAGUAAACACGCAUACGGCAGAAGAUACAGGUACUGUAUUAUAUGUGCAAAAUCAAACCAAAAAAAGGACCCUGAUACCUUGUUCAGAGUAUGGGUAAGAGAUGCAAGGGUACCAGAAGUUUUCUUAUCUAUGCAGUUAAAAUAUAUUUUAAAAAUUAUUACAAAACAAGUAUUAAAAUUAUUUUUACAAUUAAAAACCCAAGCUAUUGUGCUGUGUUGCCUAUUGCACAUUAUUGUGUUUAUUAAUAGCACUCCUGUAAAAGUGAGAAUGUAUAAGAUAUGUAUUGAAAAAUAAAAUCUAAGUCUGAACCAUGUAUCAAAUUCAGAAAGCCGCUUUGAAAAUAUAAUCAUUGUGCACAACCUCUAAAUUUGAAAAGGUUCAGGGUUUAGUUAGUGCUUUAAGUACUACUGUUUUAGUGAUAAUAAGUAAAGCUCUUCAGUCUGUGUGUUGUAAAAGUAAUGGAAGUUGUACAGUUAAUAAUUAAUAAUUCAGUAAAUAACUUCAUAAUUCUGCUUCUGUGGCAAACAUGUCUGUUUUGACCCUACCUUUAAAAAAAUACAAAAGAAACCCAAACCAACUUGUAUUUCACCAUUUACUGUCCUUUCUACCAGCAUGUGGGAGAGAGAGCAAACACACUCUCCUGUCCUGACUAGCAGCCUUUUAGAAAAGGAAGGUCAGUGUUUCUCCCCCUCAGCCCCUCUGUGUGCUGUGUAGUAGCUGCACUCAACACAUGGAAACAUCUUACACAUAGUUCAUUCUGUUAGAAGGCAUUUUAUCCAAUAUAACAGGUAUCCAACUGUACCCCAACAUCAUAUGAGGUAAGUUAGAGUCUUAGACUGGUGCUCUGGGUGUUCUAGUUAUUGAGUGAUACAUAUCGAUGCCUAAAGCAAUUAAGCAUUUUGAAAUAGUGCAGUGAAGUCAAGACUCUCCCGUGUCAGUUGAAUUAAAAUGCCUCCCACACCCUAUGGCACUGUGCUAUUAGGGAUAGUUUUUCCAAGAUAAUUCAUGGUGUAUGACCAUGUUUGAUGUGACCAUGCUCUGCUCAAAAUGCAGGUGAUCUCUCACUCGAGAAUGUGUGAUUGUUUACGACAAUUUAUAGCAAACAAAUUCUCCUAGAAAAGAAUAACGCUUGCAAGGCAAACCAUUCAGCUGAAGGAUUUCAUCAUCUAGGAGGCAGGUUUUAUACCAUCAAAAUAAACAGGUAAAAAAUUGCCUAAAUCAGG